GAUCAUGGCUCAGAUUGAACGCUGGCGGCAUGCUUUACACAUGCAAGUCGAACGGUAACAGGUUAAGCUGACGAGUGGCGAACGGGUGAGUAAUGCAUCGGAACGUGCCCAGUCGUGGGGGAUAACGCAGCGAAAGCUGUGCUAAUACCGCAUACGAUCUAUGGAUGAAAGCGGGGGACCGUAAGGCCUCGCGCGAUCGGAGCGGCCGAUGUCAGAUUAGGUAGUUGGUGGGGUAAAGGCUCACCAAGCCGACGAUCUGUAGCUGGUCUGAGAGGACGACCAGCCACACUGGGACUGAGACACGGCCCAGACUCCUACGGGAGGCAGCAGUGGGGAAUUUUGGACAAUGGGCGCAAGCCUGAUCCAGCAAUGCCGCGUGCAGGAAGAAGGCCUUCGGGUUGUAAACUGCUUUUGUACGGAACGAAAAGGUCUGGGUUAAUACCCUGGGCUCAUGACGGUACCGUAAGGAUAAGCACCGGCUAACUACGUG
rnacentral:rRNA from 1 species